UAAAUGGUAACAACGGCUAAAACAUAGACCUAAUCCGCUAAUAAAGCAAAUCUGGUAAAUGGUAAUCAACGGUGACAAUUUUUCAUGGUGCGACCUAUUGGUAGCCAAAAAAGAUUAUCAACAACUGUAAAAUCUGCUACAACUGAAAGAAGUAAAAAAUUCUAUAUUACAACCAUCUGGUAUAAUAUCAGGAUAUAAACUGCAUACCAUAGAUAAGACACCACUACAGAAAUGAACAAGAUAACGAAGUACUCUUGACAUUUUCUUACAAUAAACGCUUUUAAUU
rnacentral:lncRNA from 1 species